CUUCAGUGAUGAUAUGAUGACGAGUCGGAAUGGGACAGUCUGUCUCUGGGGACACUGGGUUGGUGUCACGUUCUGUGUCUGGUUUUAGUUCCCCAGAGAAGCAGGUCUCUUCAGUUGAAGACAUCGAGGCAUUUGUCUGAGAAGG
rnacentral:snoRNA from 1 species